rnacentral:rRNA from 1 species
GUGAGGAAUAUUGGUCAAUGGGCGGGAGCCUGAACCAGCCAAGUCGCGUGAAGGAAGAAGGAUCUAUGGUUCGUAAACUUCUUUUGCAGGGGAAUAAAGUGCAGGACGUGUCCUGUUUUGUAUGUACCCUGAGAAUAAGGAUCGGCUAACUCCGUGCCAGCAGCCGCGGUAAUACGGAGGAUCCGAGCGUUAUCCGGAUUUAUUGGGUUUAAAGGGUGCGUAGGUGGUUUGAUAAGUCAGCGGUGAAAGUUUGCAGCUUAACUGUAAAAAUGCCGUUUAAACUGUCGGACUUGAGUGUAAAUGAUGUAGGCGGAAUGCGUGGUGUAGCGGUGAAAUGCAUAGAUAUCACGCAGAACUCCGAUUGCGAAGGCAGCUUACUAAGCUACAACUGACACUGAAGCACGAAAGCGUGGGGAUCAAACAGGAUUAGAUACCCCUGUAGUCC